AUGUGGAGGCCGGGCCGGGCCGGGACCGCCGCCUGCCCUCGAUUUCUGUGCCUCCUUGUGCAGAUUUCCGCCACAUGGACGUCCCUCCGGCGGUCCAGCGGUCCAGGCCAGCCCUCGAUUUCUGUGCCUCCUUGUGCAGAUUUCCGCCACAUGGACGUCCUUCCGGCGGUCCAGGCCAGAGUUGUUCACGCAUCGGGCAGGGCCGGUGGGUGGGUGGCCGUCUGUUUCUCGUCACAUACACUCCAGGUCUCCAGCGAAGCUAAUCGAUGGUUUUGGAUCCACUGCCUAAAAGGCUCACAUAGUACAGGAUUACAGGCACAUACACUCAUCUAA
rnacentral:rRNA from 1 species